UUUCUUCCUUUAUUUUGCCUACAUGCCUACUACUAAGUCCAUAUUAAUGGCAAUAUUAAGUGUCAAAGCAUUCUGCUUUGUACCAAAGAUCUCUGAAUGAGGCUACUGUUUAUUGUAUUCUUUGUUGGGUGAAAGGUUAAAAAAAAGUGCAUGUAUUUUCUUUUCUGCAGUUCAUUCAGGUUUUAAUAUAGAGCAGAGCAAAAUACAAUGAAGAGAAUUGUACAUAAUAGUCUUGGCUUCUUGAAGAUACUAAGCUUCCCAUGAGUUAAGAGUAGACCUUCCGAAGCCUUGACUUACACACCUCGUAGAUUUUGGUCGUAUUGAAGCCUUUGCGACAUUGGUAUGUGGGGAGAUUUGAGCCUUGGCUUGUCUAGAGAUAAUUACCAGAGCUUGGUUGCUGAAUUACAAAUCCUUCUUACCUAACAGUCACACAGUAGCAGCUUCCAUAGCAGAGUAACAUAUUCCACGGUGGGUGCCAGGGAGGGCAAAGGGAAUGUGUUCUCCUGUGGUGGAUCAACCCACCUCUUUGAGACUGGCUGGAAGCAGAAGUUGAAACUUGCCGCUGAUUACUCUCUCCUUGAGUCUGAAAGGCUGUGCCAGAACUUUCAUCACCAUCACCAUCACAGGAGGAGUUUCCAGCCAGUGACCUGGCUUAGCAUCCACCGCUUCUCUCUUGAUUUGAUGGCUGGGAGGAGCAGGCUGACUUCCACACUGAAGAGACAAAGCCACAGUUUGGAGCUCCUGCUUGACGCGUUGUUUCUGAGAGGGAUACGAGCUGUUUUGGACGCAGGCCUGACACAGGCUUGUGAGACGGUGUGCAGCCAUCAUGAGCCCUGGAGCCGAGAGGCGGCUGAGGAAGUUUGGCCCUGAGCUAACAUCUGUGCCCAUCUUCCUCCACUUUAUAUGUGGGACGCCUACCACAGCAUGGCGUGCCAAGCCGUGCCAUGUCUGCACCCGGGAUCCAAAACAGUGAACCCUGGGCCGCCGAAACGGAAUGUGCGCGCUUAACCCCUGUGCCACCAGUCCGGCCCCCUGAAAAUCUUAAAAAUGACCAAUUGAAUAUAUAAACAUCUUCAAUUUUGAGUGACAGAAUUAUCAUUUUUAUGCUCCUUUAGAAAAUAAAUUUAAUUGAUUCUUCUCGAUAUACUUUCACUGCAAUCACUAUGUUCCCUGUCUCUACCCCAUAUAUUCACAAAUAAUUAAAAUAACAAAACAAUAGUCACCCCCCAAUUCCACUAUAAAAAUAGUGUUUUAGAAAAAGCAUAUUUCAAAUUAUCAAACACUCUACUCAUUUCCACAGUUUCAAGUCUACAAACAAAAAGUUAUCUUUCCGUAAGUUUAUUUUCUGCUGGCUUAGAUUAUAAAUAGUUCUUGGAGUUCAUAUUUUUCAAAAUCGUUGUGCUUCUUCAUUGAAAAAUAACUGACUUUUUCCCACGUUCGUUUUGUAUCUGCCAGUUGUGUCUACCUUCAGUGUUUUAAUUAAAGUUUAUUUUGGGCUAUCUACAUAAAGAUGAAUUAGUUUGGAAGCCAAAUUUUAUUACUCCUACUCCAAAGAUAGGUCCAAUAACA
ensembl:lncRNA